AUCCGCCCGGGUACUACGAACGUAAGUUUGAAACCCAAAGGACUUGGCGGCGCUUAACAUCCACCUAGAGGAGCCUGUUCUAUAACCGAUAACCCCCGUUAAACCUCACCCUCUCUGGCCUUAAGCCGCCUAUAUACCACCGUCGCCAGCUUACCCUGUAAAGGCCCCACAGUAAACAAAAUUAGCAUUGCUCAGAACGUCAGGUCGAGGUGUAGCACAUGAGAGGGGAAGAAAUGGGCUACAUUCGCUACUCCUUAGCGAACACGAAUAACCGCGUUGAAAAAGCGUAUCUGAAGGAGGAUUUAGAAGUAAGCAAAAAACAGAGUGUUUUGCUGAAACUUGGCACUAAAGCGCGCACACACCGC
rnacentral:rRNA from 1 species